CACGUCGAUACGCCGAUGUGGACGUGAUAUUAUCAUCAUCUCUAGACUUUGCAGCUCCUCUGUGGCUCGAGCUGACUUAUCGUGACGUCACCCACUGUAUCUGACUGUAUGCAGCCCUUCAUGGAGCGCGUGGCUGCGAGCACAUGGAAAGGAGGUCGAGAUUUGUGCUUGAAAGACACGCACCUAUUCAUCCGAAAUGGAAUAUAAAUAAUAAUGCGCAAAAUAGAGUCAGAGAACGGGAAGACUGUUGAAGACCCUUCUCGCUCUGCUCUACUCCGCUGUCAAUCAACCAGGAUCAGCAGAUUUAUCAUGAAAAUCAAGUCACCUGGAUGGAAGUUAUGAAAAGGGGGACUGGAAUGUCCUGUCAUCCAUUUCCUCCCACUCAGAAACACUGUGCUGGUGUGGUGAUAGCAUCUAGAGGUACAGGAUCUAGGUAAUGAAUGAACUGGGAUGCCCACACACUGACGAUGGGACCCUGGACAACCUGACACCAAGUAUGGAAAAGGAUGACUGACUUUCCCACCAAAGUCCCGUAUCAUCGGAGGUGGCUACAGCCAAUUGAACACACACACACACACAUUCUCACAUUCCACACAGGCAGAUGCCUUGCCACACACAGCUUAUCCACACACCAUAAUUCACAACAUAAUCCACAUGCCACAAGAUGGUUUGUGCAUGCUGUGUUGCGGCAUUGCUGCUCUUGGUCUUAUUAAGGUGUUACUGUAACCUGUACUGUAUAGCAGCUGAAGAUAUUCUACCCACACAGUCUAUUUGAUGAGUUUAGGACUCACCGAGGGAGAUUCUGACGAUUAGUGAUUGAGAAAUCACCUCCCUAUUGCACGGAUUCAUUUGAGCUCUUACUGGAAGGAUCUUUAUGUCAACUGAAAGUGAAGAUAUAAGUACAUUUUGACAAUAACAUUUUGUCUAUGUCUACAUGUUUGUGGUACAAACCAAAGCCGAAUAGGAGUUCUAUCUUUACAGUUCUCACUUUUCCUUCCCAUGACUUCACAAUCUCUGUGAAUGGAAUCAUGUUCUAUUGUUGCCUAACCUGUUUCGAUGGGUUGGCUUAACAUACACGUGCAGUAUAGGGAGCUAAUUACGACAGCAAAAGAGGAGGGGAUCAGCUCUCACACUGAAAGGCAUAUUUGUGUUAACACUGUUUCUAUACUCAUACAUUACCAUACAUUAUCUGUUCAUGAUCUGCAGUGGCAUGUGACUGAAUGUCCAUACAUUUGAUAACAACAGUUUCACACUGUGAAGCAUAUUAGUGUUCACACUAUUCACAAAUACAUGUAGACUAUAUUUCUACAUUAUCUGUAACUUAGCCGUAGUGGAAGCUGACUGAAUUUCAAUACAUGUGAUAAUGUCUUGGUUAUCUUGAUUUCAGCCAUUAAAGCAAGGCCUGCAGGGUCAUUGUCACUAUUUGAGUUACAAGGGUCAAAUCAGGGUCAUGUCUGUUACUCACCCCGGCAACACAACGUUAAAGGAAAAGGUUGUUAACUUACAGAGAACUCCCCUAUGAGAACUCCCCUAUGUUUUCCCUCACAGUGGGGAAAUUGAGUGCAGCAGGUGAGAAAGAACGUAAACAGCCCAAACCACAAGAUAUCCUGCUGUUCAUUUCAAUGGUCAUUUUAUUUGAAUCACUUAAUAACUGCGUAACAACAUGUUACUACAAUGAUAGAACUGUGUUAGUAAACAGGUACACAAGGGAACUCUAUGUAAAACAUUGGUAUUCAGACCAGAAGUUUAAUAUGUAUGCAUUAAGUGGUGAUUAUAUGUACAACAAUGUAAAUGUUCAUAAAAAUGGUAGUUAACAAUGACAAAAUGUACUGUAAAAGUAGAUGUUACGCAGUGUAAACCCUCUCUUCACAAAAAAAAAGCACCAAUUAGAAGUCACAUAAGAGUUGUGAGGAGUUUUAAUCCAGCUAAGUGAUAGUCCACUCUUUGAUGUUGGGUCAAUACCUCUUUCGGGGAGGAUGAAAGAACAAACCUUUCCUGCCAACAAUCAAUCUCUCAAUGUAUGACCAUGUAGUGUUUUAAAUUCAGCUCUUUAUCAGCAAUAGUGACAUUAUGGAUUAAAUAAAGCUUUAUCGCCCAGGCAGGAAAAGGCUGGGCUGUCUGCCUCUCUCUCUGAUCACGCUCACUGCCUUUUGAUGUGGGCCUCUGUUUGUUCACCAGCGCCAGCGGUCUGCGCUCCCAUUGAGCAAUCUGCCACUGGCUAAAUCCCUUUCUCCUCGCUGGGCAGCAGCAGCAUUGUUUGCAUUUACACUGGGAGGUGUGAAACAUGCAGUCUCAUUCACACCUCCCCAGCGCCAGUUCUUUUUUUUUUGUCGUCGGCUCCGCUGACCAGUCCACACCUGAGUUCAGACACUUCAACCACUGGUCGUAAUACCUCUUGACCGUGACCCAGUAUUCUGUUGUGAAGCCACUCCUAAAGGUACGGUGUCCAUAUUAGGACAUCCUCAGCCUCAGCAUGACUUAUUUCACAUUCAGCACUUAUUUCAGUCGAAUUCAAAUGUGGGUCUACAAUGAGAAUGCUUCAUCGACAGCAUAGCUUCUCACUAUGUGGCUAGUUUCACUAUCAAUCAGUAGAAUCUACUAAACUGCUUCUGUAAUAAAUGUUGGCUUCCUCAAAAAAGCUCUACAUUUUCCCAAAAUAGAGACAUGAUGUGUUGUAUGGAGAGAAAUUGUAUUAAUGUGUCUGAAACGUGUCUGAAACAUCAAAAACAUUUCUCAGUCUAAUUCUUACAAUAUCUGUCUAUUGAAGUUGAGGGUUGUGAGGUACUCGACUGCUAAACUUUGAGUACAGUAUAAGUACUAGUCAAUGUCUUGGGCAUCAAUCCAAAGGUUUCACUACAAGUGAUAUGGAUCCCAGAUUGAAUGGCAACCUUGUAAUUCAAGAUCAAAUAUUUAUCUGAGAUUUCAACCCCCCCCCCAAUUGUUUUAAAUAUAUAUUAUUGUUGAUAUGCCAUUGAAAUUCAUUGAGCAGCACACUGUAUACAGUAUUUUGUAUUGAUAGGAGAAGUUACACUACUUGUCAUUCACCACCAUCUGAGACAUUUGCUAAGCUAAAACACUUCCUAAAGCGGAAACCAAAACCUCUGAGUUCAGUUCCUCAUAGCCUGAGGACUAGAACUUACACACCAUAAAUGGAAGAGAGUUCAUUCACAAAUUGCACUUGGUCAGACCAUGACAUAGAACAUGGAGAAGAGCUGCAGUGCUUACCAACAGCCUGGGAUUUGUUUAAUUGGGCUUAUAAUGGCACUUUUGUAAUGACAACGUGCAUAACGCAUAACUUCUCACGCCCUGAUCUGUUUCACCUGUUUCUAUGAUUGUCUCCACCUCCUGCAGGUGUCGCUUAUUUUCCCCAGUGUAUUUAUCCCUGUGUUUCCUGUCUCUCUGUGCCAGUUUGUCUUGUAUGUUAGUCAAGUCAACCAGCGUGUUUUUCCCGUACUCUUUUUCUAUUCUCUUU